CGACACAAAAGUCAUUCUAUCUUCGUUCAGUAUUCAGUGAGAGACAAAGACAGAAUGACUCUUGUGUCGACUUAUGUCGACUGUGGCUGUGUUCCAAAUUUACUGCCAGCGCUUGAAGAAUCAGAUUCAGAUUCAGAUUCAGAUCUUCUAGCAGAAGCAUUACAUAAUUGCGAACAUACACACCAAGAA